AUUGAACGCUGGCGGCAGGCCUAACACAUGCAAGUCGAGCGGAUGAACGGUGCUUGCUCCUGGUUUCAGCGUCGGACUGGUGUGUAAUUCCUAUGUAUCUCCCUUUUUUUUUUUUAUUACGUCCUGACACGGGCGCUCAUACCGCAUACGUCCUUACGGUGUACGUGGGUGAUCUUCGGACCUCUCGCUCUCUCAUGAGUCUAGGUCGGAUUAGCUAGUUGGUGGGGUAAAGGCCUACCAAGGCGACGAUCCGUAACUGGUCUGAGAGGAUGAUCAGUCACACUGGAAGUGAGACACGGUACAGACUACUACGGGAGGCAGCAGUGGGGAAUAUUGGACAAUGGGCGAAAGCAUGAUACAGCAAUGCCGCGUGUGAGAAGAAGGUCUUCGGAUUGUAAAGCACUUUAAGUUGGGAGGAAGGGCAGUAAGUUAAUACCUAGCUGUUAUGACGGUAACAAAAGAAUAAGCACCGGCUAACUACGUG
rnacentral:rRNA from 1 species